UUUCAGUUAACUCCAGUCCUUGGUUCUGGGUUGGCCUACAGGAGGAUUUCCAAUUCAAAGUGAUGGACAACAGGAUUCAUGGACGUAAAAUAACAAUUACAUAUCAGAUUAUUACGGACACGCCACUGCAUCAAAUACUUCCUUCCCAUAGAAAUACCUACAGGAGCCAAAGGACUAGGGUGCCCAACAGCCGGAUCUGAUUCGACGCCACCUUUACUUACCAAAGGCAUCUGGCAUGGUCACGGUCACAUCAUCUGUAGCAGCGCUGUAGUCCGCAGAAAAAGCCCCCGGACGAAAUCUAUGUCAACAAAGACAUAGAACAAGAGGCACUGAACAUCGUUGUGCCGCAGUCUGCUCAGGGAGAGCCCCGUCUUCAGUCCUGACCCUGAGCCAGGGAAAGAGAGACGCCAGCCACAAGCCACACCGCCAACGCCGCCAACGGCACCAACAGCAGUAGCACCACCGCCAACGGCACACCAACACUAACCGCAGCUGAUGGUGACUAGAAGAAACACAUCUGCUUACGUUUUCCUGGGUCUGAUAAAGAGGAAGCAUCUGUAACUGUCGAAGAUGAGCGGUCAGUUGACAAGUAUGAAGCUAUUAGGAAGCAACAGGUGACUAAAUAGACCUUAGUUAAUAGUGUUACAAGCAUGGAUUUCUCUCUUACCAGUGCCAAAUCUCUUGCAGAUUUCACUUCUCCUUCGUCUGACGCAUUUCACAGUCAGAUUCAAACAUUCAUCUUGUAUGGGCAAUGUCAUGUAAUCAUGAAUUUCCUUUACUGUCUAAGCAAAAAAACAAUUGGACAGACAUGAUUCCAGUAAAACGUUAUCAAAUACAAUUAAAAGUAUCACAGAUUAAGAAGCUGCAUGCGUCUACAGUUUACCCUUUAUGUUACUCGUAUUAAGCCUACUAUGCAAAUAUGGGUGACAUAUUCAUUUGAGAGCUUAUAUGGCCCAUUUCAUUUCUAGAAUGCUAAGAGAAAAAAAGUCGAUCAUGGCUUCAGACAGUUUGAUCUAACCUGAUUAUCGUGGUAGAUUUGAAGUUGGUCGCACACUUCAUCGAAGGGGUACUUAUAUCUACCGUUGACGGUAAUGUUUUUACAUUGUACAGGUACCUCUUCGGGGGGUUUUAGACAGUAUAUGCGGUCUAAAAACGCGAUAGGGUUAUUGUUAGAUUAUACAUGCCUUUUGAAUGUAAAAUGUUAAUACAACUGUAUCCAACACAAUCACUAUUAUGCUAUCGACUGCAGCAGUUUAUACAUAAAUAAACAUAUUGCAACAUUCCUUUAAAUGAUCGUAGGCCAAGCCCACAGUUCACUUUAAACACGUGUCCAGCCUACUUCCAGACUAAUUUAACAAAGUUAAUCUGAGAAAUUAAUAAAAUUAAUAAAUUAA
ensembl:lncRNA